rnacentral:rRNA from 1 species
GUAGGUGGCAAGCGUUGUCCGGAAUUAUUGGGCGUAAAGCGCGCGCAGGCGGUUCUUUAAGUCUGAUGUGAAAGCCCACGGCUCAACCGUGGAGGGUCAUUGGAAACUGGAGAACUUGAGUACAGAAGAGGAAAGCGGAAUUCCACGUGUAGCGGUGAAAUGCGUAGAGAUGUGGAGGAACACCAGUGGCAAAGGCGGCUUUCUGGUCUGUAACUGACGCUGAGGCGCGAAAGCGUGGGGAGCAAACAGGGAUUAGAUACCCUGGUAGUCCACGCCGUAAACGAUGAGUGCUAAGUGUUAGGGGGUUUCCGCCCCCUUAGUGCUGCAGCUAACGCAUUAAGCGCUCCGCCUGGGGAGUACGGCCGCAAGGCUG